UACGGAGUGUGCAAGCGUUACUCGGAAUCACUGGGCAUAAAGCGCGCGUAGGCGGACUUACAAGUCGGUUGUGAAAUCCCUCAGCUCAACUGAGGAACUGCAUCCGAUACUGUUUGCCUUGAGGACGAGAGGGGGAGAGUGGAACUUCUGGUGAAGCGGUGAAAUGCGUAGAUAUCAGAAGGAAGCCGGUGGCGAAAAGCGACUCUCUGGCUCGUAUCUGACGCUGAGGCGCGAAAAGCUUGGGGUAGCAAACGGGG
rnacentral:rRNA from 1 species